rnacentral:tRNA from 1 species
GAUUGUGUAGCGAUUACAACGGCCAAAGUAGGCCUUCUAAGCCGAUGGUCGCUGGUUCGAAUCCAGCCGGGGUCA